rnacentral:rRNA from 1 species
CCUACGGGCGGCAGCAGUGAGGAAUAUUGGUCAAUGGGCGGGAGCCUGAACCAGCCAAGCCGCGUGAGGGAAGAAGGUACAGCGUAUCGUAAACCUCUUUUGUCAGGGAACAAAGGCGGGGACUAGUCCCCGGAUGAGGGUACCUGAAGAAAAAGCAUCGGCUAACUCCGUGCCAGCAGCCGCGGUAAUACGGAGGAUGCGAGCGUUAUCCGGAUUUAUUGGGUUUAAAGGGUGCGCAGGCGGCCUGUUAAGUCAGCGGUAAAAGCCCGGGGCUCAACCCCGGCGAGCCGUUGAAACUGGCGGGCUUGAGUUGGAGAGAAGUACGCGGAAUGCGCGGUGUAGCGGUGAAAUGCUUAGAUAUCGCACAGAACCCCGAUUGUGAAGGCAGCGUACCGGCUCCACACUGACGCUGAGGCACGAAAGCGUGGGUAUCGAACAGGAUUAGAUACCCGUGUAGUC